rnacentral:rRNA from 1 species
CCCGCACAAGCAGCGGAGCGUGUGGUUUAAUUCGAUGCUACACGAAGAACCUUACCAGGGUUUGACAUGCAAGUGGUAGGAAACCGAAAGGCGACGACCUUCGGGGAGCUUGCACAGGUGCUGCAUGGCUGUCGUCAGCUCGUGUCGUGAGAUGUUCGGUUAAGUCCGCUAACGAGCGCAACCCUCGCUGUGUGUUACAAGUGUCACACGGUACUGCCGGUCUUAAGCCGGAGGAAGGUGGGAUGACGUCAAGUCAGCAUGGCCUUUAUGUCCUGGGCUACACACACGCUACAAUGGCCAACACAAUAGGUUGCUAAGCCGCGAGGUGGAGCCAAUCCUCAAAGUUGGUCUCAGUUCAGAUUGCAGGCUGCAACCCGCCUGCAUGAAGAUGGAGUUGCUAGUAACCGCAGGUCAGCUAUACCGCGGUGAAUACGUUCCCGGGGCUU